rnacentral:rRNA from 1 species
UACCAGCACCCCGAGUGGUCGGGACGAUUAUUGGGCCUAAAGCAUCCGUAGCCGGUUCUACAAGUCUUCCGUUAAAUCCACCUGCUCAACAGAUGGGCUGCGGAGGAUACUAUAGAGCUAGGAGGCGGGAGAGGCGAGCGGUACUUAGUGGGUAGGGGUAAAAUCCGUUGAUCCAUUGAAGACCACCAGUGGCGAAGGCGGCUUGCCAGAACGCACUCGACGGUGAGGGAUGAAAGCUGGGGGAGCAAACCGG